UACGUAGGUGGCAAGCGUUGUCCGGAUUUAUUGGGUUUAAAGGGUGCGUAGGCGGUUCUUUAAGUCAGUGGUGAAAUACAGCCGCUUAACGGCUGAGGUGCCAUUGAUACUGGGGAACUUGAGUACAGACGAGGUAGGCGGAAUUGACGGUGUAGCGGUGAAAUGCAUAGAUAUCGUCAAGAACACCGAUAGCGAAGGCAGCUUACUAGACUGUAAAUGACGCUGAUGCACGAAAGUGUGGGGAUCAAACAGG
rnacentral:rRNA from 1 species